AGCUCUGAAAAGGUUAAUCGUCUGUCUGAAUGUGGUCGGAAUGGUAACAGCCCCCUUAUACCCACUCAGCUGAUGUUCUUCUUCUGUGAAAAACUUAACAUUUGUCAUUGUAAGACAUUUAGUAAUCAUUUGCUACAGGGAUGGCCAGUAAGAACUGUGAUUGGUUAUUUGAUAGCCCAAUGAUGACUGGCAGACUACUACUCCAAAUCUUGUCUUCAAGUCAGAAAUUCAAAAUGAAAACCUGCUUUGAGGACAUUGGGAGCAACAUCAGAGGGGUUGUUGAACCACUGGUUGUGGAUCACUGCAUUAAGGCCUGAUGGUACCCAGCAGUCUCAUACUCUGGAAGAUGGUAUCCCAGGUGAAGGUGGAGAUGUUGGUGCAAACAGGAGUUGCGGAGGAUGAUCCGGCCUUUGUGCAGCAGCGAGAGCUGAUCUUGAAGCCCACAGUAGUGCCAACUGCCCGCUGAUGUUAUUUACCUAUGCUCAAUUGAAAUACCAUGGUGUUAUUAUUGGCUGGCUUACACACAUCCCAAUAUACUCACUUCAGCCAGCUGGAACUUAAGAAUGAAAAGCCCGGAACGCUGUUUCUGUCCCUUGGUGUAGCUUCAUCUUCCUGGGCCCCAAGGAAAGACAGGGGCGGCUCUCCAUUAUGUGGCUGGAAUAAUUUUGCUGGUGGCUGCAUGAAAGGGAAAAAAUAAUUAUAGUGAAUAUGAUACAAAAUCUAUUGUGAACAGUUGGCCAUGUAUUUUACAAUAUACAAUAAAGCCUGCAAUGGAAAUAUGCAA